rnacentral:lncRNA from 1 species
GUUUUUGUGCAUUGUCAGGUGAUGGGUGUGGUUGGACCGUCCAGUGUGGCAGACGGCUUAAAUCCUAAAUAAUAUGUUCCAUACGCCCACUAUCAGGGCUAACUUCUGUUUCCUCCUUUUCCACCAUCCUAGGCCUUAAAGGAUGAUUUCCCUCUCAGUCAUGUGAUCUCACCUUUCACCAAUCAGGAGAGGCGUGAGGGGAUGCUGCUCAACCUGCUCAUUCCCUUUGUAUUGACAGUGGGGUCUGGAAGCAAAGGAACAGGAGAAGAGAGAGCAGUGGGGCCUCCGCAGCAGCCUCUCCCCUCCACCCUCCAUCUCCCGGCCCUCCACCCCAACACCCCUAUCUAGGACGUGCUCCCUGCUGCCUCUUUCCCGAACCUGCUCCCCUGUCCCUUUAUCCUGCACCUCCACCCCUCUCCCUCCACCGCUCCCGGUGCUGGGUACUACGCCCGCCCCGGGCCCUCCGCCACCACCAGCGCUGCCGUCGACCCCGCUUCUUCCUCCGCCUCCUCCGGGGCCAUUCAGGAUCAGAGAAAUCCAUGGGGAUGAGGACACAGCGGCACUCCUUCCACGCAGUGACGCCCUGCUGCGGUUCAGCGAGGACGACGGCACAGAGAAUUCCCUCCUCACCCCCCUGUUGACCUGGACCUGGAUGAGUCCCAUGUUUGAUGAGGCGACAGGUAGAUUGAUUCUCUAUCUAUUCUAUUCUCAGGCAAUGACCUGAAUAUAACAUAGUUUAUUUUUCUGUUAUGUUAUGUCAUCAGUGGUGUUAAUGAUGACAUCAAUAAAGAUCAGAAGUUAAACAUAUGUAUAGUGAGAGUAGAGUAUAUACAUCUAUGAAGAAGAUGCAAAGUUUAUUAUAUGAUAUACAUGUAGUGUAUAUUGUAUACAUUAUAUACAACAGUCUGGAGAUUAGUCAUCCAAAGAAUGGAUUUUUAUAAGAAAAUAUAAGAUUUAAUUAUCGAUAAUCAAAUCAAUCAGUAUUAAUUAAAGUGGCUCAUUAUUAAAGUUUAUUGUACUUGAAUUUAAGUACUAUAUUAAAGUUUGUAUUAGUGAUGUUGUCUUAUUCCUUAUAACUCAUUUGACCGGUGAAGCAAUGUGUCAUCAUUAGCUGUGUUUAAC